UCGCCAGCUUACCUUGUAAAAGAAAUAAAGUGAACUAAACAGUAAUACACUAAAACGACAGGUCGAGGUGUAACUCAUGAAGCGGACCAAGAUGGGCUACACUCUCCAACAGAGGAUACGAACAACACUAUGAAAUUAGUAUUUGAAGGAGGAUUUAGCAGUAAGAUAAGAAUAAAAUACUUAACUGAACAUAACGCAAUGAAGUGCGCACACACCGCCCGUCACCCCUGCCACCACGAAUAA
rnacentral:rRNA from 1 species